AAGCAGACCCCCCCCCCCCAAGAAACCGAUUUUCAGGAAAUGCUCCAAGAUGGUGUUGAUGUUUAGCCAGAGUUAGGGACACCGUUCUGUGCAAUAAAGGACUGCAUUUUCCCAGCAGAGGGGACCACUUUCCCUGAUUGACGCACUUGCUUAUUUCCGACCUUGCAACUUUGCAAAAGGGUCUCCUGCCAGAGUUCACAGUGGCUCUCUGCUUCGGAUAAAUUAUACUUCACUGGAAAUAGAUCCUAGAACAAUUACUUCGGGUAGCUUUGUCGCCACGUGAAAAAUGAUGGGGUUCCAAAGCAGGAAUGAACCAAAGAAGGCAAGGUGUUUAUGUCAGCGACAGCCUGUCAUGGCACCAGGUCGCUCCCGCUAUCGGAACUAGGAUCCAGCGAAGCUUGAGAACAUUGAGGAUGCCUGGAAAAAACACACCUUCUUCCAGUUCUUCUACCCCGAGUGAUUUCUGGAUCUAUUUGCUGGGAAUCCCAGGAGGGCUUCAGGGACUGGGUGUUCUCUUGGAGAUGAAACUCUUCCCACGUCGGAUGUGGUCUUGGUUGGAAAGGCCAAGGGAGAGAGGCAUCCGUCCCUGGGAUGUCUUCCCCUGGAACCCAAAGACUUGAACGAGGUCAGGCAAGAAUUGAAACACCUGUGAUCAGACUCGAACCUGCAGCCCGUGGAGUGUGGUCUCCGGUCGCGGCCGACCUUUCGGGUACGUGAACACCCUCGCGGCUAGUCCGUAAACCCCGUAAACCUUGCUAAUGUGAUCGAGAGACCCUCUGUCGUACUGAAAAGAAAAAGGAAACCUUUACAGAGGACUUUCUGAUGGCCCUGGGUGGAGGAUGGGAGUUCACAAGCUUUCCCGGAAACCGAAAGCAGAGUUAAACCUUGAAUGACCACACCGAGCACUGCUCUGUAGACAUGACGAUGUUAAGAUUGCACGAUUGGUCAUUUUCGUUCCCUGGUUGUGGGAGUGCUCACUGUUUGUCCAACUUCGUCUUCGGCGCCCCUGGUGGACACCGUUGCAAAGUGACUGGCUGCGGGGAGGGGUCACUCUAUUGUUCUUUAUUUCUCAUAAGCUGAGGAUCAGGAACCCGGACCCAGGUCUGAGGGGAGCUUCUAAAGACUCAGAGCGCUAAGGUGCUGGGGCAAAGUCUAUGAUCAAUGUCUUUCCAAGGCGAUUCUUUUUUUUUUUUAAUUUUUUUUUUUAGUGUUGAUUUAUUUUUGAGAGAGACAGAGCACGAGCAGGGAAGGGGGAGAGACAGAGGGAGACACAGAAUUCAAAGCAGGUUCCAGGCUCUGAGCUAUCAGCACAGAGCCCGAUGCAGAGCUCAAACCAUGGACUGCGAGAUCAUGACCUGAGACGAAGUUGGGUGUCCAGCCACCUGAGCCACCCAGGCGCCCCUCCAAGGUGAUUCUUUAUUAUCUAUAUUUUGGUACCUUUGCUCUAUAUUAUUAACUAAAAGCACAGGGAAAUAGCAAAUUUAGGACAGAUUUUACCUCUGGAGGGGGAAGGAACAGACGGAAAUUUGGAAAAAGUAUACAGUGGGCUUUACCUCUAUUUGUACUUUUAUUUUCUGGGGGCUAAAUAUUGUGACACACCCGCGUCUUUUAUUCUUCACGGCUUUUUGUGUGCUGGACAUUUUUCACAGUAAUUUCUUUAAAAGGGAGGGGAAAACAAACCAACAAAAGAGAAACGUUUAUUGGUUAAGUAGUAAAUAAAACAACAUCUCCCAGGUGGACGAUCCUCUUG
ensembl:lncRNA